UCCCUAGUGGCUCAGAUGGUAAAGAAUCUGCCUGCAAUGCAGGAGACCCAGGGUUGAUCCCUGGCUCAGGAA
rnacentral:tRNA from 1 species